rnacentral:rRNA from 1 species
UUCGACGGGACCCGCACAAGCGGUGGAUGAUGUGGUUUAAUUCGAUGCAACGCGAAAACCUUACCCACCUUUGACAUGUACGGAAUCCUUUAGAGAUAGAGGAGUGCUCGAAAGAGAGCCGUAACACAGGUGCUGCAUGGCUGUCGUCAGCCCGUGUCGUGAGAUGUUGGGUUAAGUCCCGCAACGAGCGCAACCCUUGUCAUUAGUUGCUACGAAAGGGCACUCUAAUGAGACUGCCGGUGACAAACCGGAGGAAAGGUGGGGAUGACGUCAAGUCCUCAUGGCCCUUAUAGGUGGGGCUACACACGUCAUACAAUGGCUGGUACAAAGGGUUGCCAACCCGCGAGGGGGAGCCAAUCCCAUAAAGCCAGUCGUAGUCCGGAUCGCAGUCUGCAACUCGACUGCGUGAAGUCGGAAUCGCUAGUAAUCGUGGAUCAGCAUGUCACGGUGAAUACGUUCCCGGGUCUU